GAAGCGGUGGCUCAAUGGUAGAGCUUUCGGCUCCAGUUAAAUUCUGGAAAAUUUCGGAAACAAUUGCAAUCGAAGGGUUGCAGGUUCAAUUCCUGUCCGUCUCA
rnacentral:tRNA from 1 species